GACGAACGCUGGCGGCGUGCUUAACACAUGCAAGUCGAACGAAGUGGCGAACGGGUGAGUAACGCGUAAUCAACCUGCCCUUCAGAGGGGGACCACAGUUGGAAACGCCUGCUAAUACCGCAUACUGAAGGAGGGGAUUGCGGCGGAUUAGUUAGUUGGGGGGGUAACGGCCCACAAAGGCGGUGAGCAGUAGCCGGUCUGAGAGGGUGAACGGCCAAAGUGGGACUGAGCCACGGCCCAAACUCCUACGGGAGGCAGCAGUGGGGAAUCUUCCGCAAUGGACGAAAGUCUGAAGGAGCAACGCCGCGUGAGUGGUGACGGCCUUCGGGUUGUAAAGCUCUGUUAAUCGGGACGCGGUACCGGAAUAGAAAGCCACGGCUAACUACGUGCCAGCAGCCGCGGUAAUUC
rnacentral:rRNA from 1 species